AUUGAACGCUGGCGGCAGGCUUAACACAUGCAAGUCGAACGAGUGGCGGACGGGUGAGUAAUGCGUGGGAAUCUGGCUUAUGGAGGGGGAUCACGACGGGGAACUGUCGCUAAUACCGCCAACAAUAGGAUGAGGCCAAGUGGGAUUAGGUAGUUGGUGGGGGACUGGCCUACCAAGCCGACGAUCUCCAGCCGGUCUGAGAGGAUGACCAGCCACCCCGGGACUGAGACACGGCCCGGACUCCUACGGGAGGCAGAAGUGGGGAACAUUGCACAAGGGGGGCAACCCUGACGCAGCCAGGCCGCGUGAGUGAAGCAGGCCUUCGGGUUGUAAAGUUCUUUCGGUAGGGAGGCGUUAACUACAGAAGAAGCACCGGCUAACUACGUGCCAGCAGCCGCGGUAAUAC
rnacentral:rRNA from 1 species